rfam:Brachypodium distachyon strain Bd21 chromosome 1, whole genome shotgun sequence.
UAUAUACUCCCUCCGACCCAUAUUACUUGUCUCAAAUUUGCCCAAAUAUGGAUGUAUCUAUGUUUAAAAAGCGUCUAGAUACAUGUAAUAUUUUGACCAGUAAUAUGGGUCGGAGGGGGUACAAC